UACGGAGGGUGCGAGCGUUGUCCGGAAUCACUGGGCGUAAAGGGCGCGUAGGCGGCCUGAUAAGUAGGGGGUGAAAUCCUGCGGCUUAACCGCAGGGCUGCCUUCUAAACUGUCGGGCUAGAGCACUGUAGAGGCGGGUGGAAUUCCGGGUGUAGCGGUGGAAUGCGUAGAGAUCCGGAAGAACACCAGUGGCGAAGGCGGCCCGCGUGGGCAGUGGCUGACGCUGGAGGCG
rnacentral:rRNA from 1 species